GACAGAGGGUGCAAGCGUUAUUCGGAAUUAUUGGGCGUAAAGGGCGCGUAGGCGGCUCGGUAAGUCGGAUGUGAAAUCCCAGAGCUUAACUGGGGAACUGCGUCUGAUACUGGAUGGCUUGGAUUCGGGAGAGGAAUGCGGAAUUCCAGGUGUAGCGGUGAAAUGCGUAGAUAUCUGGAGGAACACCGGUGGCGAAGGCGGCAUUCUGGACCGACAUUGACGCUGAGGAGCGAAAGCCAGGGGAGCAAACGGG
rnacentral:rRNA from 1 species